UACAGAGGCCUCAAGUGUUGUCCGGAUUUACUGGGCGUAAAGCGUGCGUAGGCGGCUUUUUAAGUCGGAUGUGAAAUCCCCGAGCUUAACUUGGGAAUUGCAUUCGAUACUGGGAAGCUAGAGUAUGGGAGAGGAUGGUAGAAUUCCAGGUGUAGCGGUGAAAUGCGUAGAGAUCUGGAGGAAUACCGAUGGCGAAGGCAGCCAUCUGGCCUAAUACUGACGCUGAGGUACGAAAGCAUGGGGAGCAAACAGG
rnacentral:misc_RNA from 1 species